GCAGUUCUGCAGAAAAGGACCUAGGGGUUACGGUGGACGAAAUGGCUGCAAUGGAGCUGGUUCAGGAGCCGGUGACCUUUAAGGAAGUGGCUGUGUACUUCACCAGGGAAGAGGGGGCUCUGCUGGAGCCCGUUCAGAGAGCUCUCUACUGGGAUGUCAUGCAGCAGAACUAUGAGACUGUGACCUCGCUGGGGUUUCUAGUUUUCCAAUGUGAUGUGAU